rnacentral:rRNA from 1 species
UGGCGGACGGGUGAGUAACGCGUGGGUAACCUGCCUUACACAGGGGAGUAACACUUAGAAAUAGGUGCUAAAACCGCAUAAGCGCACAGCUUCGCAUGAAGCGGUGUGAAAAACUCCGGUGGUGUAAGAUGGACCCGCGUCUGAUUAGCUUGUUGGCGGGGUAACGGCCCACCAAGGCGACGAUCAGUAGCCGGCCUGAGAGGGCGGACGGCCACAUUGGGACUGAGACACGGCCCAGACUCCUACGGGAGGCAGCAG